AACGAACGCUGGCGGCAGGCUUAACACAUGCAAGUCGAGCGCCCCGCAAGGGGAGCGGCAGACGGGUGAGUAACGCGUGGGAAUCUACCCAUCUCUACGGAAUAACGCAUGGAAACGUGUGCUAAUACCGUAUACGUCCUUCGGGAAAAAGAUUUAUCGGAGAUGGAGGAGCCCGCGUUGGAUUAGCUAGUUGGUGGGGUAAAGGCCUACCAAGGCGACGAUCCAUAGCUGGUCUGAGAGGAUGAUCAGCGACACUGGGACUGAGAAACGGCCCAGACUCCUACGGGAGGCAGCAGUGGGGAAUAUUGGACAAUGGGCGCAAGGCUGAUCCAGCCAUGCCGCGUGAGUGAUGAAGGCCCUAGGGUUGUAAAGCUCUUUCACCGGUGAAGAUAAUGACGGUAACCGGAGAAGAAGCCCCGGCUAACUUCGUGCCAGCAGCCGCCGUAAUAC
rnacentral:rRNA from 1 species